rnacentral:rRNA from 1 species
CCUACGGGUGGCAGCAGUGGGGAAUAUUGCACAAUGGGCGGAACCCUGAUGCAGCGACGCCGCGUGAGUGAAGAAGUAUUUCGGUAUGUAAAGCUCUAUCAGCAGGGAAGAAAAUGACGGUACCUGUCUAAGAAGCCCCGGCUAACUACGUGCCAGCAGCCGCGGGAAUACGUAGGGGGCAAGCGUUAUCUGGAUGUACUGGGUGUAAAGUGAACGCAGACGGCUGUGCGAGUCUGGUGUGAAAGGCGGGGGCUCAACCCCCGGACUGCUCGGGAUACUGGAAAGCUGGAGUGCAGGAGAGGGGAGCAGAAUUCCAGGUGUAGCGGUGAAAUGCGUAGAGAUGUGGAGGAAUACCAGUGGCGAAGGCGGCCUCCUGGACUGAGACUGACGUUGAGGCGCGAAAGCGUGGGGAGCAAACAGGAUUAGAUACCCGUGUAGUC